rnacentral:rRNA from 1 species
GACGAACGCUGGCGGCGUGCUUAACACAUGCAAGUCGAACGGAAAGGCCCUGCUUGCAGGGUACUCGAGUGGCGAACGGGUGAGUAACACGUGGGUGAUCUGCCCUGCACUUCGGGAUAAGCCUGGGAAACUGGGUCUAAUACCGGAUAGGAGCCAUUUUUAGUGUGAUGGUUGGAAAGUUUUUUCGGUGUGGGAUGGGCUCGCGGCCUAUCAGCUUGUUGGUGGGGUAAUGGCCUACCAAGGCGGCGACGGUAGCCGGGCCGAGAGGGGGGACGGCCACAUUGGGACUGAGAUACGGCCCAGACUCCUACGGGAGGCAGCAGUGGGGAAUAUUGCACAAUGGGCGCAAGCCUGAUGCAGCGACGCCGCGUGGGGGAUGACGGCCUUCGGGUUGUAAACUCCUUUCGCUAGGGACGAAGCUUUUUGUGACGGUACCUAGAUAAGAAGCACCGGCUAACUACGUG